rnacentral:rRNA from 1 species
GAUGAACGCUGGCGGCGUGCCUAAUACAUGCAAGUCGAGCGAACAGACGAGGAGCUUGCUCCUCUGACGUUAGCGGCGGACGGGUGAGUAACACGUGGAUAACCUACCUAUAAGACUGGGAUAACUUCGGGAAACCGGAGCUAAUACCGGAUAACAUGUUGAACCGCAUGGUUUAACAGUGAAAGACGGUCUUGCUGUCACUUAUAGAUGGAUCCGCGCUGCAUUAGCUAGUUGGUAAGGUAACGGCUUACCAAGGCAACGAUGCAUAGCCGACCUGAGAGGGUGAUCGGCCACACUGGAACUGAGACACGGUCCAGACUCCUACGGGAGGCAGCAGUAGGGAAUCUUCCGCAAUGGGCGAAAGCCUGACGGAGCAACGCCGCGUGAGUGAUGAAGGUCUUCGGAUCGUAAAACUCUGUUAUUAGGGAAGAACAUAUGUGUAAGUAACUGUGCACAUCUUGACGGUACCUAAUCAGAAAGCCACGGCUAACUACGUG